rnacentral:misc_RNA from 1 species
UCAUGGCUAAUACAACGUGGAUAGAGACGUUCUGGAAGAAUGAUUACGAACAUGGAUUUGCCAGCGAAAUGGUGACAAUGUUCCUGAGUACUUUGACACCAAAGUUCUAUGUAGCCUUGACUGGAACAUCAUCACUAAUAUCUGGACUGAUUUUGAUUUUUGAAUGGUGGUACUUUCGCAAAUAUGGAACAUCAUUUAUAGAACAGGUAUCACUAAAUCACAUCAGCCCAUGGAUUGGAGGUAAUGACAGUUGUGGAGAUAUCGCAAACAUACCAAAUAAUGAAAAUACCAUUGUCAAUAAUCAGCAGACUGUUCCAGAUUGCAAAGUAUGGAGAAAUCCAAUGAACCUUUUUCGUGGUGCAGAGUAUCAGAGGUAUUUUUGGGCCACUAACAAGGAACCUCUGACUUAUUAUGAUAUGAAUUUGUCCGCCCAAGAUCAUCAGACGUUUUUCACUUGUGAAGGUGAUUGUGGGAAGCCUGAGUAUGAAAUAAUGCAAACAGCGUGGCGGGAACGUAAUCCAAUUGCUAGAAUCAAAGCUGCCCAUGAAGCUCUUGAGAAAAACAAUGAGUGCACACCUGCAUUUAUACUUCUGGCAGAAGAAGAUGCUACAACAAUCAGUGAGGCAGAAAGAACAUUUAAACAAGCAUUAAAAAUAGCUGAAGCAAAUUACAAGAAGUCACAGCAGUUGCAAAACCAGAGCUCUGUUGCAGAAGCAGUACAUCGUAGAGAUACAAAUGUUUUGCUUUAUAUAAAGAGGCGCCUAGCAAUGUGUGCAAGAAAAUUGGGAAGGGUCAAGGAGGCAGUAAAAUUGUUUAGAGAUCUAUCAAAAGAGGUUCCACCAAUUAUGAAUGUUCUCAAUGUUCAUGAGAAUCUCAUUGAAGCCUUAUUAGAAAUGCAGGCCUAUGCUGAUGCACAGGCUGUCUUAGCAAAAUAUGAUGAUGUUACAUUACCCAAAUCUGCUACAAUAUGCUAUACAGCAGCUCUUCUAAAAGCAAGAGUAGUGGCCGACAAAUUUUCACCUGAUGUUGCAAGCAAACGGGGUCUUACAACAGCAGAAAUGACAGCUGUUGAAGCUAUUCAUAGGGCAGUCGAAUUCAACCCUCAUGUUCCAAAAUAUUUACUUGAAAUGAAACCAUUGAUUUUACCACCAGAGCAUAUUCUCAAAAGAGGAGAUUCAGAAGCAAUAGCUUAUGCGUUUUUCCAUAUACAUCACUGGAAGCAAGUGGAAGGAGCAUUGAAUCUUCUUCGUUGUACUUGGGAAGGCGCUUUCCGUAUGCUUCCAUUUCCCCUUGAAAGAGGUCAUUUGUUUCUUACUUACGAAACAUGUACAGAGUGUGCAGAUAGGGAGUUACUGCCUGAUUCUGUGGUUUUCCUGCUGUUCCACUCUCCAGGGAAGCUUUAGUCUGAUCACUCCUACAACAACAGGUGCAUAUGGUGUUGGAACAGUUAUUGGCUAUGUUGACCCGGAUUUAGCUGCUGGUUGUUCACCCACUGCCAUUCUCCACCUAUGAUGAAUCCGCAGAAGACUGGGGUGCUAAUGAGAAAUGGCUUCUCCAACAUUUCGUGGCAUUCUGGGUGGUCAACACAGAGCCUUCAGUGAUGUCAGCAUGUAUCCAAAGAAGGAGCUCCCUUUCUUCAUUCUGUUUACAGCUGGCCUGUGUUCCUUCACAGCCUUGCUGGCACUGCUUACACACCAG